GAUGAACGCUGGCGGCGUGCCUAAUACAUGCAAGUAGAACGCUGAAGGAGGAGCUUGCUUCUCCUGAUGAUUUGCGAACGGGUGAGUAACGCGUAUGUAACCUGCCUGUUAGCGGGGGGUAACUAUUGGAAACGAUAGCUAAUACCCCAUAAGAUUAUAUGUUGCAUGACAUUUACUUAAAAGGUGCAAUUUCAUCACUACCAGAUGGACCUUCCUUGUAUUAGCUAGUUGGUGAUGUAACGGCGCACCAAGGCGACGAUACAUAACCGACCUGAGAGGGGGGUCCGCCAACCUGGGACUGGGACAACGCCCAGGACCCCACGGGAGGCAGCAGGAGGGAAAUUUCGGCAAUGGACGGAAGUCUGAACGAGCAAACCCGCGUGAGUGAAGGAGGUUUUCCGAUCGUAAAGAUCUGUUGUAAGGGAAGAAAGAGUGUGGGAGUGGACAGUUCACACCGUGACGGUAUCUAACCAGAAAGCCACGGCUAACUACGUG
rnacentral:rRNA from 1 species